rnacentral:rRNA from 1 species
AUCUAUGGCCAUACCACCCUGACCAUGUCCAAUCUCAUCUGAUCUCGUGAAGCUAAGCAGGGUCAGUACUUGGUCAGUACCUGGUUAGUACUUGUAUGGAAAAAUUAGACAUUUAAUAUU